rnacentral:rRNA from 1 species
UACGUAGGGGGCAAGCGUUGUCCGGAAUCAUUGGGCGUAAAGAGCGCGUAGGCGGCCCUGUAAGUCCGCUGUGAAAGUCAAGGGCUCAACCCUUGAAUGCCGGUGGAUACUGCAGGGCUAGAGUCCGGAAGAGGCGAGUGGAAUUCCUGGUGUAGCGGUGAAAUGCGUAGAUAUCAGGAGGAACACCGGUGGUGUAGACGGCUCACUGGACCGUAACUGACGCUGAGACACGAAAGCGUGGGUAGCAAACAGG